ACAAACUAACUUCCAAAACAUUAAUAUUUUAAUUAAUCUAAAAAAGAGAGUAAAUGCUCCUUCAUUAGCAACACGAAUAAUAAAAGCAAGUAAACACAUGGUCGGCGAAGAGAGAGUGAUUAGGCGGAAAAUCACGAGUUGCGUCACUUUCUACAGUUACGAUUCAAUGAGCCGCCGCCGCAAGGCGGAGGUGGUAUUGGCUGAUUGGGCCCUGGAGUGCAUUUGUCUGAACCGCUUCCCAAAAAACUAGCUUCACUUGAUCCAUCUGGAAAUAAUAGAUUCGUUUCCAUCGCCACCAACCCUUCGUCGUUCACCGCUGCUGCAAAACAAUGAUUGGUACACACCAACAUCAGCAUCACUACUACUAAAAAUAAACCUCUCUUUUCAUUGUAACCUCCCAUUUUCUCUUCUUCUUCUCUAACAAUAGAGUGAGUUGUAUAGGUAGAAAUGAGUAUUAUAUAUAGCGCAGCAGCAGCAUAUGUGAGUUUCUCCAUUAAUGAUAUAAUUUCAAGUCUGGGUCUCCGCCCAUAUGGGUUGACUGCUGCUACUCUCUUUCAAUUGAACAGUCUUUUUUUAUCUCCGCGUUUGGACUUGUUCUGCUCCAAUUGUAGGUUUGCUCUCACUGUGACAUCAUUUGAAUAGGAAAGCGAAGUUCAUACUCACCAUUUUUGGAUUUCAACAAUCAAACAAACUCUGAUUAGAGAAUAGAAGUGUAAUUUUAUAAGCAAAUGUCAUCAUUCACGUACUUAAAAUAUUUUGUUCUCAAACCAUAAACUUAUGCUCACACUGAGUGAUGGACCUCUAAUUUGUCUUCAUUUCUUUCUAAAUUACGAGGAAUUGAAACCUAUAAGAAUCUUUUGUUGUUAGCUAUGAGGAAAUUAAAAACGGUUGUUGUAGUGUGAUUAGUAUACCCAGAUUAAAAUCACUGGUGAAAAAUGAAAUGUGAUUAGAUUCAAACAUAAAAUAUUGGUGAGCUCAAAAUAAAAAAAAAUAGAUUUAACCAAUAAAAUAAUAAUAAUAAAUAAUAUAUUUGUAUAGCGGUGAAAAAAACUCGAUUCGAUUCGAAAAAUAAAAAUAAAAAUUGAAUUUUGAGUUAACUGAAUCGAGUUAUUCAAAUUAUUCAAGUCAAUUCGAAUAUGUAAUUCGAGUUUCGAGUUCGAAUCGAGUUGAAUUUUACAACUUGAAUAAUUCGAGUUAUUCGAAUAAUAUGUUGGUGUAAAUACCCUUUUGGUCUAUGUUAGGUUUGAAAAAUGAGCAAAUUGGUUUCUCCCAACAAAAAUUACAAAAACAUUCAAAAUAAUUUUCGAAAAUUCAAAAUAUUUAUAAAAAAUUAAAUUUUUAUAUUUUUUUAAAAAAAUUAUAAGAAUUUCAAAAAAUAAAUCUAAAAAAAAUUAAAAAAAUUAAAAGAUUUCUAGAAUAAUAACUUUGGGGAUCUAAAUAAUUAUUAAUCAUUCAAGUUUAUCAUACUAAAAUAUUAUUUUUUAUUUUACUUUUAAAAAAUUUUCAAAUAUAUAUAAUUUCAAAUUUUUAUGCUCUAACAUGGAAUAAGUUAUGCUGUAAUAAAAUUUUAAUUUGACAUGUUUAAUUUUUAAAUUUAAUUUGAACAAUUUCAAAUCGAAUUAGGAUAAUAAAAUAGGACUCGUCAACUUGAAAUUUUUAAUUUUUCUAUUCGAUUCAAUCGAACGCUCACCCCUAUAUUUGUAUAUAUUAUUAUAAAUUAUUAAAGAACAUAUUUAAAUUAAAUAAUAUUUAUGUUAAAUUAUAAUAAAACGUAUAUUUAUAUUGAAACUAAAUGUACAAAAAUACAUACAUUAUAUUUAUAUUAAAUAAUAGCGGUCCAUUAUUUAUUGGAGGUCCAGUCAACUUUAGUGAUUAAAAAGUCAACCGUAUGUUAUCCAAACAACCUUCCAAUUUUCUUUUAUUAUUGAAGAACAUCCUUCCAAUUAAUUUGUUUCAAUUGCUAAACUUUUUUUUCCCUAAAGAUGCUAACGCUAAAGGGUUUCAUAUUAGUAAAGAUAAUUUAUACUAAUUUGGUUUUUCUAUCAUUUUAACCAUUAGCUCGGGCUUUAAAUAUUGAUUUAAAUUUGAUGUGGGUAUGGAUAACUUUGAUUUUAUGUAUUAAGAAAAAGAAAUAUCAUUCUUAAAUUUUACUAGCACGGUCUUUUUUAACACAUCAAAGUUAAGUUUUCUAUAUGAUAUGCAUGUAUGUUAUUUUUUUUUUACAAUUUGAUCCUGUGUUUUAAGUAUGAUCUACGUUAGAUCGGAAUUGAUAUUUAGUGUCUAAAUUGAUGAUUAGAUUAAUAAAAAAAAAUCUAAUUGAUACAAAACUAAUAGCUUUAACUAAAACGUUUUAAAAUUAUUCAACAAAUUUAGAAUCUUAGCUUUGAUAAAGCUGUGGCACUUUUUUGGGCAGAAAAGAAAGACUACAAAAUGCUCUUCAAUAUUUCCAAAACAAAAUAAAUAAAUAAAUAAAUAUACAAAUAAAGGGAGGAAGAUUAGACGAGGGUGAAAAACAGUUGGGGGGUUAUAAAUUGAAGAUUGAAUUAAAAUGUUAUAAAAUUUAUACAAUAAUUUAUAUAAAAAUUGAGUGAUUGAAAUUAAAAUUAAAUAACUAUUUUGACAGCUACUUUAAAAUUGAGUGACUGUUGACGUAAUUUACCCUAAAAUGUUUUAGGGUAAAAAUGUUUAGAAAGUUGGAUUAAAAUAAGUAGAAGUUGAAGGCAUGCUUUUUCCAGGGUUGAAUGAGUCCCCUGAAUAUGGAGUUGACCAGUUCCCCUGGUUGAAUCAGAUUCAUGCCAUCAUUAAUGUCAGAUUUACCUUUUUCUUUUGAAGUCUGUAUCUCAUUACUACAUGUAUAGGAGUAUGAGUCGAAUUUAGAGGGAGCUGAGCUUGUAAUAAUUUUGAAGUGCUUACAAGCAAGGAGGAAUGCAGCUUUCAGGAAACAACCAAAAUCUCAUCCUCCCACCAAGUACCAACCAUGAUAUAUGACAUAAAAAAAGCAGACCAACAUGAGUUUAAAUAUCCAAAAAAAAUAUAAAAAAAUCAGAUCAAACAUCUGUGCCUAAAUGAAGAUUGGUUGUAUACAAGAUUUUAUUGCCUUUUGUGAGACAUACAAAUGGCUAUUUUCAGUUCUUUUAUCAUGUAAACAAAAAAUAUUCAAAAGCAUCAAAGAAUCUUAGCCACAGAUACAAAGCGUCUCUUAAAAUCAGUAGCUAAUCUGUUUAAUGAAGUAGUUAAAUUGGUGUUUUGUAAGAAGAUAGGUAACCAAAUUUGCUGCACAAUCGCAGGCUACUUGGGAGAAUGCAAUAAAAUUACUUAAUUAUACAAUAAUUUUUCCUAUUUUCAAGAAUGCCACCUUUCUUGUUACAAGAAAUUAUACAAUUAAAUUGGAUAUAUAUAUGGGGUAAAUUUCUUAAUUGAUUACCCAACUUUUAAGAUGUUUUUACUUUGGUCGCAUCCAAUUUCAUCACUUGUCGUUUAGAAAUUUUUUUCAUUUUAAUCACUUACCUUUUACCCAAUAAACACUGACUUGGCAUAUCAUUUGUUGAUCAAAUCCAAUUAUAAAAUUCUAAGUCAAGCUUUUCCACCAAUCAAAAUUUUCUAUUCUUUUUUUUUUGUCAUAUUUCAUUCUUCUUCUUCCCGAAUACAACUUUUUUUUUCCUCCCAAGCCCUUGCUUCCAACACCAGACUCGGCCUGCGCACCUUCCUUCCGCCCCUUUGCAAACUUUUUUACUUCGAAAUUCCAAUCAUUGAGAGCAGGGAGCAAAGGUAGUCUGGUGUUGGAAGUAGAGGUGUGGGAGAGGGAAAAAAGUUGAAUGAAGGAAGAAGAAAAAGGAUAGAAGAGAAACAAGGCACACCGACGUCCCAAUUAACGUAUAUGUUAUUGUUGUUUACAGUGAGAAUCGGAAGGCAGGUCCAGCAUCAGAGAGGAACUAUGGCCUCUUCUAUCUUGAUGGUUUAUGACAGUAGAGUUCAGGGUUAUCUUCCUGAGUUCAUCAGCUCUCACAAAUAAUGUAAGAAAAUCAUCCCUUGAUUUCACAAUAACUCGACCAAGCUGUUUAAACAAUGACAUCUCCACUAAUUCUAUUUAUUUCCAUUAAAUUUUAGCUUAAUCAUUAAAAUGCUUUUGAACUGAUUAUUUUUUAUCUUAAACGUUGUGGGGGUAUUGCAUCUAUUUAUUUAUCAAUAAAUAGAUUUAUAAAUUAUAUAAAUACAAAUAAAUAAUGUUAUAUUAUAUAUUAAAUUUAAAAUUCUUUUAAAUAUAUAAAUAGUUUAUAAAAAUCUUUUUUAACUUGAUGAUUUUUAUGUACAUUUUCAUUUUUAUCGUACCACUGUUUAAAUCUAAACAUAUAUCCUACCAUUAAUUUUAAUUUUACCGUCAUCAAAUCAUAGCUUAACCAAUAGUUUUUCAACUUCUACUUAAUAGAAAAAUCCUUUAAAUGAUAUGAUUAAAGUUUCAUUUAUGUUCAUUUUAUGAUUCAUAAAAGAUAAAUACUUUUAAACCCAUUCCAAUAAUGUAAUAUACAAGAUUCGAAUGUGAGUUUUCUCCAUGAAAAUAUAAUUUACCUUAUCAUUGCGACUAACAUUUGUUAAUGAAACUGAUAUAUUAGAAGCGAAAUAUUUUUGAGAAAUAAUAAUGACUUUAUGCACACUUUAACCCUUAAUGUAUAUCGUUUUUCUCACUUUGGUCCUUAAAAUUUUUUAUUAUUGCAUUUAAAAUAAGUUCAUAUCUUAUAACAACAAAUUUGAAUAUUUAUUCAAAUGAGAAAAAGAUUAUAUGAAAUAUGGAUAUUAUCCAUUUUUAAUAAUUUUAUGUCACAUCAAUAAUUUUAUUUUAAAUUUUAAUAUUUUAAUUUAGAUUUGAUUUUUUUAAUUAUAAAAAUGUUGAAAUUCAUGAUAAAAAUACUAAUAUAACAAAAAAACUAUUGAAAAAAGUACAAAGAAUGAGCAAAACAACAAACUAAUACAAAGAAUGAGCAAAAGAACAAACUAACUUCCGAAACAUUAAUAUUUUAAUUAAUCUAAAAAAGAGAGUAAAUGAUCCUUCAUUAGCAACACGAAUAAUAAAAGCAAGUAAACACAUGGUCGGGGAAGAGAGAGUGAUUGGCCGGAAAAUCACGAGUUGCUUCACUUUCUACAGUUACGAUUGAAUGAGCCGCCGCCGCAAGGCGGAGGUGGUAUUGGCUGAUUGGACCCUGGAGUGCAUUUGUCUGAACCCCUCCGCCCGCAUGUGGAAUCGGCGCGUAGAGCUCCCAAAAAACUAGCUUCACUUGAUCCAUCUGGAAAUAAUAGAUUCGUUUCCAUCUCCACCAACCCCUCGUCGUUCACCGCUGCUGCAAAACAAUGAUUGGUACACACCAACAUCAGCAUCACUAUUACUAAAAAUAAACCUCUCUUUUCAUUGUAACCUCCCAUUUUCUCUUCUUCUUCUCUGACAAUAGAGUAAGUUGCAUAG
rnacentral:lncRNA from 1 species